rnacentral:rRNA from 1 species
GACGAACGCUGGCGGCGUGCUUAACACAUGCAAGUCGAACGGUAAGGCUCCAGCUUGCUGGGGUGCACGAGUGGCGAACGGGUGAGUAACACGUGGGUGACCUGCCCUGCACUUCGGGAUAAGCCUGGGAAACUGGGUCUAAUACCGGAUAGGACCGCACCGUGAGGGUGUGGUGGAAAGUUUUUUCGGUGUGGGAUGGGCCCGCGGCCUAUCAGCUUGUUGGUGGGGUAAUGGCCUACCAAGGCGGCGACGGGUAGCCGGCCUGAGAGGGUGGACGGCCACAUUGGGACUGAGACACGGCCCAGACUCCUACGGGAGGCAGCAGUGGGGAAUAUUGCACAAUGGGCGGAAGCCUGAUGCAGCGACGCCGCGUGGGGGAUGACAGCCUUCGGGUUGUAAACUCCUUUCACCAUCGACGAAGGGUUUCUGACGGUAGAUGGAGAAGAAGCACCGGCUAACUACGUGCCAGCAGCCGCGGUAAUACGUAAGGUGCGAGCGUUGUCCGGAAUUACUGGGCGUAAAGAGCUCGUAAGUGGUUUGUCGCGUCGUCUGUGAAAUUCCGGGGCUUUACUCCGGGCGUGCAGGCGAUACGGGCAUAACUUGAGUACUGUAAGGGGAGACUGGAAUUCCUGGUGUAGCGGUGAAAUGCGCAGAUAUCAGGAGGAACACCGGUGGCGAAGGCGGGUCUCUGGGCAGUAACUGACGCUGAGGAGCGAAAGCAUGGGGAGCGAACAGGAUUAGAUACCCUGGUAGUCCAUGCCGUAAACAGUGGGCGCUAGGUGUGGGUUUCCUUCCACGGGAUCCGUGCCGUAGCUAACGCAUUAAGCGCCCCGCCUGGGGAGUACGGCCGCAAGGCUAAAACUCAAAGGAAUUGACGGGGGCCCGCACAAGCGGCGGAGCAUGUGGAUUAAUUCGAUGCAACGCGAAGAACCUUACCUGGGCUUGACAUAUACAGGAUCGCGCCAGAGAUGGUGUUUCCCUUGUGGCUUGUAUACAGGUGGUGCAUGGUUGUCGUCAGCUCGUGUCGUGAGAUGUUGGGUUAAGUCCCGCAACGAGCGCAACCCUUGUCUUAUGUUGCCAGCACGUUGUGGUGGGGACUCGUAAGAAACUGCCGGGGUUAACUCGGAGGAAGGUGGGGAUGACGUCAAAUCAUCAUGCCCCUUAUGUCCAGGGCUUCACACAUGCUACAAUGGUCGGUACAGUGGGUUGCCAGUCCGUGAGGGCGAGCUAAUCCCGCAAAGCCGGUCUCAGUUCGGAUCGGGGUCUGCAACUCGACCCCGUGAAGUCGGAGUCGCUAGUAAUCGCAGAUCAGCAACGCUGCGGUGAAUACGUUCCCGGGCCU